AGUGAACGCUGGCGGUAGGCCUAACACAUGCAAGUCGAACGGCAGCACAGGAGAGCUUGCUCUCUGGGUGGCGAGUGGCGGACGGGUGAGGAAUACAUCGGAAUCUACUCUGUCGUGGGGGAUAACGUAGGGAAACUUACGCUAAUACCGCAUACGACCUACGGGUGAAAGCAGGGGAUUUUCGGACCUUGCGCGAUUGAAUGAGCCGAUGUCGGAUUAGCUAGUUGGCGGGGUAAAGGCCCACCAAGGCGACGAUCCGUAGCUGGUCUGAGAGGAGGAUCAGCCAUACUGGAACUGAGACACGGUCCAGACUCCUACGGGAGGCAGCAGUGGGGAAUAUUGGACAAUGGGCGCAAGCCUGAUCCAGCCAUACCGCGUGGGUGAAGAAGGCCUUCGGGUUGUAAAGCCCUUUUGUUGGGAAAGAAAUCCAGCUGGCUAAUACCCGGUUGGGAUGACGGUACCCAAAGAAUAAGCACCGGCUAACUUCGUGCCAGCCGCCGCGGUAA
rnacentral:rRNA from 1 species